rnacentral:tRNA from 1 species
GGCUUGUGGCUCAGAGGUAGAGCACUCGCCUACAUGCAAGAGGCACUGGGUUCGAUCCUCAGCACCA